AACGAACGCUGGCGGCAUGCCUAACACAUGCAAGUCGAACGAGACCUUCGGGUCUAGUGGCGCACGGGUGCGUAACGCGUGGGAAUCUGCCCUUAGGUACGGAAUAACGCAGGGAAACUUGUGCUAAUACCGUAUGAUGUCGAGAGACCAAAGAUUUAUCGCCUAGGGAUGAGCCCGCGUAGGAUUAGCUAGUUGGUGGGGUAAAAGCCUACCAAGGCGACGAUCCUUAGCUGGUCUGAGAGGAUGAUCAGCCACACUGGGACUGAGACACGGCCCAGACUCCUACGGGAGGCAGCAGUGGGGAAUAUUGGACAAUGGGCGAAAGCCUGAUCCAGCAAUGCCGCGUGAGUGAAGAAGGCCUUCGGGUUGUAAAGCUCUUUUACCCGGGAAGAUAAUGACUGUACCGGGAGAAUAAGCCCCGGCUAACUCCGUGCCAGCCGCCGCAGUAA
rnacentral:rRNA from 1 species